GUAUAGCUCAUUGGUGGAGCACUUGCCCAGCAUGCAAGAGUCCUGGGUUCAAUUCCCAGCAC
rnacentral:tRNA from 1 species